AGCAAUCUCAUUUGAUACAUCUGGAAAGCUCCUGGCUUCAUAAAUGUCUGCCCACAUGUUUGCAGGCAGUACAGGAGGUGGACGUGAUUCCUUACUGGACUGUAUCUUAUAGAGGUAUGAAAUGAUAUACGAUGACUGGCCUGGGCACAGAGAUCCUGACUAUCUUGUGGUUGAGCUCAGUUGAACUGUUCCAGCUUUCUCAGCCUCUCUUCGUAUGAAAGAUGCUCCAAAUGCUUAAUUAUCUUAAUGGUCCUUCACUGGAAAUAAUCCAAUGUGCCCACAUCUCUCUUUUACUAGAGUCCAAACUUGGAACCAGUACUCCAGGUAUGACCUCUCAAACACUGAGUAGAAUGAAAGGAUCACAUCCUUCCACCUGCUGGCAACACUUCUCCCACUGCAGCCAAAGAUAUCUUUAGCCUUUUUUUACUACAAAUACAUGUAACUGGCUCAUGUUCAACUUGUUGCACACAAGGAUCCAGAGGUCCUCUGCCAUGUUGUUUUCUAGCUGGUCCCCAGUAUGUACUGGUGUAUGGAGUUGUUUCUCUUCAGCCUUAGGACUUUGUAUUUUCCUUUGUUGAGCUUCAUGAUGCUUCUGUCAGCCCACUUCUCCAGCCUGCUGAUUUCCCUUUGAAUGGUAGCACUACUCUGCUGCAUCAACCACUCCUCCCACAUUUGUAUCCUGUGCAAAUUUGCUGAGGAUGCGCUCCAUCAUACAGGUCAUUAGCAGGAAUUUUAAACAGUGUUGGCUCCAUAUUGAUACCUGAGGUAUACCACUGGUAUCUUGUUUCCAACAGGACUUUGUACCAUUGAUUGCAGUCCUUUGAGACAGUUUCAACCCACCUACCCAUUUCAGCCAGCUUUCAAUCCAUCUAGAUGUCCACUCAUCUAGUUUGCCUGUAAAGAUGCUAUGAGAGACAUAUCUUGCUAAAAUCAAGAUACCAUAUCUAGCUCUUGCCCCUUAUCCAACAAGUUGGUCAUUUGAUCACAGAAGGUGAUCACAUUGGCUGGAUAUGUCUUCUCUUUCUUAGAUCCAUGUUGACUGCAAU